GACGAACGCUGGCGGCGUGCUUAACACAUGCAAGUCGAACGGUAAGGCCCUUCGGGGUACACGAGUGGCGAACGGGUGAGUAACACGUGGGUGAUCUGCCCUGCACUUCGGGAUAAGCCUGGGAAACUGGGUCUAAUACCGGAUAGGACCACUGCCUGCAUGGGUGGUGGUGGAAAGCUUUUGCGGUAUGGGAUGGGCCCGCGGCCUAUCAGCUUGUUGGUGGGGUGAUGGCCUACCAAGGCGACGACGGGUAGCCGGCCUGAGAAGGUGACCGGCCACACUGGGACUGAGAUACGGCCCAGACUCCUACGGGAGGCAGCAGUGGGGAAUAUUGCACAAUGGGCGCAAGCCUGAUGCAGCGACGCCGCGUGGGGGAUGACGGCCUUCGGGUUGUAAACCUCUUUCAGCACCGACGAAGCGCAAGUGACGGUAGGUGCAGAAGAAGGACCGGCCAACUACGUGCCAGCCGCCGCAGUAA
rnacentral:rRNA from 1 species